rnacentral:rRNA from 1 species
GACGCUGGCGGUAGGCUAACACAUGCAAGUCGUGCGAGAAAGUUCUUCGGAUAUGAGUAGAGCGGCGAACGGGUGAGUAACGCGUAGGAAUGUACCUAGUAGAAGGGGAUAGCCCGAGGAAACUCGGAUUAAUACCGUAUACCUCCUUCGGGAGAAAGAAGGCCUCUCUUUGAAGCUUUCGCUACUAGAUCAGCCUGCGUAAGAUUAGCUUGUUGGUGAGGUAAUGGCUCACCAAGGCUACGAUCUUUAGCUGGUCUGAGAGGACGAUCAGCCACAUUGGGACUGAGACACGGCCCAGACUCCUACGGGAGGCAGCAGUGGGGAAUAUUGGACAAUGGGCGCAAGCCUGAUCCAGCCAUACCGCGUGUGUGAAGAAGGCCUUCGGGUUGUAAAGCACUUUAAGCAGGGAGAAAAAAAUAUAGGUUAAUACCCUAUGUUCUUGAUGUUACCUGCAGAAUAAGCACCGGCUAAUUCCGUGCCAGCAGCCGCGGUAAUACGGAAGGUGCAAAGCGUUAAUUCGGAAUUACUGGGCGUAAAGCGCGCGUAAGUGGUUUGUUAAGUUGGGAUGUGAAAGCCCUGGGCUCAACCUAGGAACUGCUCCAAA